GUAUUUGUCUCAGAGCCACCGCUAUUUACAGCUUCGUACUCCUCCAUAUGGCGUAAGUGUUUGGUUGGUAACUUGGGUUGGAAUGUUUUUCAUUUCGCAUAUAGGUUAAGUCAUAAUAUGUGGCUUUGAGUAGUUUUUUAUACCACUGCUGUGUGUUCUAUUGUUAAACAUCACAGUUCUUGUCUUUUAUGUGGUUAAAUAUCAAAGCUCUAGAAGGAGGCUCUUUGUGAAUAUAAAUUUUAAUUCUUACUAUUUUAGAAUAUGCUGAUAUGGAAUAAAAUGCUUAUUGUUUCAUGAUUUUAAUUCUUCAUCUUUAGCAAAAUAGAUAGUUAAGUUUUGUAGAUAAGCUAUAAUAAAUUCCCUUUAUAUGAUUUAGUUUUCCAAAGUUUCUCCCAUGAUCCUUAGCUAUCCUUCCUAUUUUGAAAUCAUAGACAGAACUAGCAUUGUGGAAUUACUAUAGACAAAACUAUGGAUUUGAAUACUUGAAUCCUUACAAUUGUGAAUUUUUCAUUUUAGAUUUGUCAUCUUUGUUAUUUAUCACAUGAUGUUGUGAACAAUUUUAAUCAAACAUUUCAUUUGUCAUGAAUAGAGAUUUAAGAUUUCAGGUCAUUUAUUGUGUAUUAGCUGUGUCAAUUUUAAUAUAUAGUUUCUUUACUAGCUCCCUUUGGCUAUUGCAUUCUGUACCAAAGUUUUUCCCACUUGACAUGCAUCUGCUACUUUUAAAAAAUAGUUCUGUCUCCCAACUCAAAAGUACAUUUGUUUCUUUGUCCACUGUUUGAAUUUUUAGUGAUAAUAGUUUCAAUUUAUAAGUUGAUAUAUACAUCUAUAUAAUUUCCUGCAUCUGCUAAUAAAGCUAAAAUUUUAUUUAACUUCUGCACUUUCCACACCUCUUUCAAGUUCUAAUAUCAAAAUCACAAUCUUGCUCAUCAUGUCACCGGAAAAUUUUUGCAACAUCCAUAUGUUUAUGGGGUGUUAGUGUUUGAAGCCAUGGCGACUUACGUGGGGCAAGUUUCUGUGCUAUCCCUCAUUGCUCUUUUCGGUGCAGCCACCCCUGCUAUAAUAACGACUGCUAGAAAAGCAGUAACUUUAUUGCUUUCAUAUGUGAUAUUUACAAAGCCAAUGACUAACCAACAUGGGGCAGGGCUUCUUCUUAUAUCUAUGGGAAUCAUAGUUAAGAUGGUCCCAGAAAACCAAAUCCCAAGUUGGAGUUCAGUCCUUGGUAUAUGGAUAUGUAUCCUUCAAAUUAAAGAAAGAAGCUGAGGCAGCUCUAAUCUCUGUUCAAGGAAAGUGAUUUCUACUAAAGAACAUGACACAAGAUUGUUGCAAAAAGUGUCAAGAAAGCUAGAAGCUUGGCAUCUUUAGUUUUAGGAGAUACAUGUGUUGUAUCAAUUUCUGUUAGUUUCUUUCACAAUUUUUUUUCAUAUACUACCAUGGUUGUAAGUUUGUAAUUGUACUCUUUAUUACUCUGAAUAAAACUAUAUUUAUUGUUAUAAUUAUUUUCUUAAAUCAUAAGAAAAAGUAUUAUUGUAAAUCAUUGUGAAAGCUAUAGUAAUAAUGAUAUUUUAAUCUUAUGAACAUGAUAACAUAAUACAAAAAAAAAGUGUUAUGUAGUA